UAAAAGCCACCAAAGAAUGAAA
rnacentral:piRNA from 1 species